GGGCUGCAGUAUAUUGACUGUACAAAGGUAGCAUAAUCAUUAGUCAUUUAAUUGAUGACUUGUAUGAAGGAUUGGAUGAAAUAUAAACUGUUUCUUAAUUAAAUAUAGAAUUUAAUUUUUUAAUUAAAAAGUUAAAAUUAAUUAAAAAGACGAGAAGACCCUAUAGAGUUUUAUAAAUAAAUUAAUUAAGAUUAUUUAUAAAAAUAAAAUUGAAAUUAAUUUAUUUAUUUUGUUGGGGUGAUAAAAAAAUAAAUAUAACUUUUUUUUUUAUUUUAACAUUUAUAAGUGAUUAUUUGAUCCAAUAUUAUUGAUUAUAAGAAAAAAUUACCUUAGGGAUAACAGCGUAAUUUUUUUUUUUAGUUCACAUAAAAAAAAGAGUUUGCGACCUCGAUGUUGGAUUAAGAUAAAAUUUAAA
rnacentral:rRNA from 1 species